AUUGAACGCUGGCGGAAUGCUUUACACAUGCAAGUCGAACGGCAGCACGGACUUCGGUCUGGUGGCGAGUGGCGAACGGGUGAGUAAUGUAUCGGAACGUGCCCAGUCGUGGGGGAUAACGUAGUGAAAAUUACGCUAAUACCGCAUACGAUCUAUGGAUGAAAGCGGGGGAUCGCAAGACCUCGCGCGAUUGGAGCGGCCGAUAUCAGAUUAGGUAGUUGGGGGGGUAAAGGCCCACCAAGCCAACGAUCUGUAGCUGGUCUGAGAGGACGACCAGCCACACUGGAACUGAGACACGGUCCAGACUCCUACGGGAGGCAGCAGUGGGGAAUUUUGGACAAUGGGCGAAAGCCUGAUCCAGCCAUUCCGCGUGCAGGAUGAAGGCCCUCGGGUUGUAAACUGCUUUUGUACAGAACGAAAAGGUUUCUACUAAUACUAGGGGCUCAUGACGGUACUGUAAGAAUAAGCACCGGCUAACUACGUGCCAGCCGCCGCAGUAA
rnacentral:rRNA from 1 species